AAAAUAUAUAAAUGAAUAGGCAGCGAUACAGAGAGAGAGAUGGAGAGGAGAUACAGAAUGAGAGAGGGAGCAAAGUAGCCGAGCAGUGCUAGUCUAUUUGUUGUUUGCUAGACUAGCAUUCCUCCCAACAACCUGUGUCGUGGAAGGUCCCCAGUAUCUCUCCAUCUGUCUCCUGUCUAUCUGUCCGUCUUCCUCCUCUCGGUUGAGCGAGCACACGCUGGCUGGUGAUGCUGGAGGGUGGGUCCUGCCAAAACGGGCCAUGUGGGCAGACACAAAAACCUUUACUACUUCUGGCCACCAGGAUUUUGACGGCUAAAUAUGGUUCAAGUAUUUCACCGGGAGCCUGAGAGGAUGGGUAGCCGAAGGGGUUGGCUGUUAUCUUUGGUUAUCUAGCUGUAUGAGUGGUGUACAUUCUUCAUAAAGCUAGAUAACCGAAAGUAACAAGAAUCCCAUUACACUCCUGAAAAGGCAUUGAGACCCCCAGCGUGACUCAACGAACACCUCCGCCCACGGCCGCCACCUACCACCACCUGUCUCCACCAUCGACAUCAGCACCACCACCCACUUUCCACCCUGCACACAAAGACACACUCUCUGACACCCCCAGCCAAGCUCAAAGCCGGAGGAAGACGUCGGCUCGAGUGAGGAGCGAUCAUGAAAACCUGAGGGUAUCAACACCACCACCACCACCACCACCACCACCACCAGCAGCGCUCCACUGAGGGGACACUGGCAGAGACCAGUUUCACAACAAGGAGCGGAGGAGGGGCUGGUGUUGAUGCUGCCCUCACACUGCAUCGCCUCCCCCACCACCCACCAUCAGCCUCCCACAACACCCUCCCACCCACCAGCACCACCACCCCCCCCCUUCUUCCCAUCCGUCCUCUCGCCCUCCUCGGCAGGCUUCGGUCCCUCGCCUUCCUGUGCUGCGGUACGCAGCCCGCGCCACCAUCUUAGAAGAACCGCGCUGGCACGAAAUGGAAGAGGAGGAGGGGGAGGAAUGCUACACAGCUAGCAGGCCUGGUGCUUCAUCCCACAGAAAACAAAGAAACAAACAAAAUGGACUCCCAAUGGAAGAGGAGAACACUGUUUCAUCAUGGAACGCAAAGCUGUCGUAAUGUCAGAAGCCACUCCACAUGCUCUCCAUGGACUUAACAUGUGCACCAACAGUAUUACCCUACAGCCCCUUGUGUUAUCUGUUUAAAGCGGUGCAUCGGACUAUUCUAUCACAGUAGAUUUCCAUGCAGGAGAAUCAGGAAUCAUUUUCAACAAGAUGAUGCGGUAGAGGGAAGAUGGAACUGUGCUAUUUGGGUUAGAAAUGCAUUUGUCACGAAGAUUCCUCUGUUCACAACUGUUAACAUUCCUAUCUACAUAAUUUUUACAUAAUAGAUUCAUUCUGAAUUACUUAACUUUUGGCUAACUUUAGUUACAUUUAUGUUCUAAAGAUUGUAGAUGCUGGGAAGACAUUUGAAUGUGUCACCCAUGGCAGCAGUGAAGGAUAAUGCACUGUGAUUGGACGGCUCUGUGUGUCAGCUGACACAAUGGAUGACGAGUGAGCUGUCGUCUUUAUACUCUAUGCAACUGUUUAUUUUUGUUAUCUUUGUGUGUAUGUGUGUGUUAUUUAGCUCAUGAGUUGAAUUACGUUUAUAAAAGGAGGACUACCGCUUCAGACUACUGAUGAAAAUCAUUUAAAGGAGUCUACAGUUAAAGCACUAAACGUUAGGGCACCAAAAUACGAUUUACACGGCAUGUGCUGCCCGUGAGUGUGGGCGAGCUUUCACAAGUGGAGUGCACUUCUUAAAAGAAUGGCAUUCAUUAAGACCUCACAUUUAGCUUGGCUCGCGGAUUUGUCUCUGACAAACCCUGAACUGUUCUCCACACGGCUCCCUGCUGACGUUAAUCAGGUUCAGCAUUUAUACAUCAAGUAUUUUUGAUGGCACAACUGUGUGUGGUACACGGGUGGUGGAGGCUGAACCAGGCUCAAUACAGCCCAUGUGAUUAAAUCCUAGCUUUCAAGCUAACCAGGCUUUGAGAUGCUUGGCUUUUUCCACGUGCCAGCUAACAGCUACAUUCCAGUAGCUAGAAGCCACCACCUAUCAGCUACUAGCUAUUAGUUAGCCACAAGCUAUCAGCUACUAGCUACCAGUUAUUAGCUACCAAUUACUAGCUAUCAACUAGUAGCAAUCGUCCAGCAGCUAACAGCUAUCAUCUAGAAGCUACCAGCUAGUAGCUAUUCGCGUGUCGGUAAUACAUCUUCAGAUGAAACAUGCCUGAUACAGUGGUUUAAAACAUUGCCUUCAUUUCCUGACUUUGACAUUGAUCACAUGUUCACUGCACACAUAUUUCCACAUCCAAAUCCACACACACAUACAGACACACACACACGCGAGCGCGCGCGACCAAGCACGCAUGCAGUCACAAACGUACACACACACACACACACACACACACACACACACACACACUCACACACACACACACACGCACGCACGCACGCACGCACGCACGCACGCACGCACGCACGCACGCACACACACACACACACACACACACACACGCACACACAGACAAAAGCAAUAAAGUAGGUACUAUCAUGGCUUAAUUCAUUCUAUAUUAAAUUUCGGGAAGUGGCAAUUUUUUUGUAUUUCGAUUGAUAAUCUAUGCAAAUGUUUUAAAUAUUACUUUUUAACAAUCUAUGCAGGCCUUCUGCUAUUGGAUCAAGGGAGACCCUAAUUUAGCAAAUGUAUUCUUUUGAUAAUCAUGUACAUCUCAGUGCUCAAGACAAUUACUUAUCUGCAUGGAUAAGCUUGAAAUUAUGUUUUUAAUCUCAAGUAAAAAGAAAAUCAUUCCUCUGAUAUCUUUUCAGGGACAUUAAAUGCCCCGUUAAAUGCACAUGCAUUUUGAUCUCAUUGUAAUUCUAUUGGUUUCACUUAACCUUAUUUUCGCACAAAUCUAGUAUAUCUAUGCUGAUGUUUGAUGUCUAUAUGUUGCUUCUAAUCAUUUUCAAUGAGCGUGUUAUGCAAUUUAUUUUUAUUUGUUCACCACACGUGCCUUUGCAUGGAAACUAUCUUCAAUAAAGGUUUACAUUGAAAAAAAAGACAAAAAAA
ensembl:lncRNA